rnacentral:rRNA from 1 species
AGAGUUUGAUCCUGGCUCAGGAUGAACGCUGGCGGCGUGCCUAAUACAUGCAAGUCGAGCGGAAAGGCUCCUUCGGGAGUACUCGAGCGGCGGACGGCUGAGUAACGCGUAGGAACGUACCCCAAAGUGAGGGAUAAGCACCAGAAAUGGUGUCUAAUACCGCAUGUGCUCCACGGAGUAAAGCUUUAUGCGCUUUGGGAACGGCCUGCGUCUGAUUAGCUUGUUGGUGAGGUAAAAGCUCACCAAGGCGACGAUCAGUAGCUGGUCUGAGAGGAUGACCAGCCAGACUGGGACUGAGAACGGCCCAGACUCCUACGGGAGGCAGCAGUAGGGAAUUUUCCACAAUGGGCGAAAGCCUGAUGGAGCAACGCCGCGUGCAGGAUGAAUGUCUUCGGAUUGUAAACUGCUUUUAUCUGUGACGAAUAUGACGGUAGCAGAGAAUA